UACGGGGGGGCAAGCGUUGUUCGGAAUUACUGGGCGUAAAGGGCGCGUAGGCGGCCUGCUAAGUCGGACGUGAAAUCCCUCGGCUCAACCGGGGAACUGCGUCCGAUACUGGCGAGGCUUGAAUCCGGGAGAGGGAUGUGGAAUUCCAGGUGUAGCGGUGAAAUGCGCAGAUAUCAGGAGGAACACCAAUGGCGAAGGCAGCUCGCUGGGACGGUACUGACGCUGGAGACGCGAAAGCCGUUGGGGAGCGAACAGG
rnacentral:rRNA from 1 species